GUCUCUGUCUCUCUCUCAUCUCUCUUUCUCUCCCGAAAGGACUGAUUCGGUUUGAUUCCAAAACUUCCACCACCGGAAUCGCCGCCGUCUCAGUCGCUUCACUGCCUCCUCCGUCCCGACCUUCCUCCCCAACGCCUCCUCCGUCCCGAUCAAUCUCUCUUUGCAAUUCUCACUCGUCGCAAUUGGGUUUCUCACGCUGGUGAUUCUUCUUCUUGUUAAUCGUCAUCACCUUCUUCCUUGAGCAGAGCUAGCGUCACUGCUGGGAUCAAACGAACAGCUGAUUCCAUGGCAUAUUGAUAAAUUGAAGAAAGUGGUAGAGGAAGGUAAUGCCUACGGAGCUUUGCAGAUGUACAAAUCCAUCAGUGCCAGAUAUGUUACGGCUCAGAGAUUCUUUAGCCAUAUACAGAAAGUACUUGGAAGAUCCUUGUGUGUGGGUGGAGUCAAACACAACGGCCCUCAACAUCCUCUCAUCGUAGGCUAAGAUAGCCAUUGGCUUCCUUCUGAUUAUCUCUCUGCUUUUAUGGCAACGCAACUUUAUACAGACAUUCAUGUACUGGCAGCUGCUGAAGCUGAUGUAUCAAGCACCAGUAACAGCAGGAUACCACCAGAGCAACUGGAGCAAAAUCGGAAGGACGGUGAAUCCGAUGAUCCAACGUUACGCUCCCUUCUUGAAUACUCCGGUGACUGCCGUUCAGAGAUGGUGGUUCAGGUGAAAAAAACAAACAAAUGCAGAGUUGACUUUUGAAAUCCUUUAAAAGAAACUACAAUUUUAGCUUUCAAACACAACAGUCUUCGUCUUAUCUGUUUCAGCUUUCGGUGUAAAGUAGAUUCUUGUAUGUUUAUUGGUUAUGAAAUAGUACUGUUGCUACUAGAGACUUUUACUUUCUUUUGGUUGCC